rnacentral:rRNA from 1 species
GGUUAAGCGACUAAGCGUACACGGUGGAUGCCCUGGCAGUCAGAGGCGAUGAAGGACGUGCUAAUCUGCGAUAAGCGUCGGUAAGGUGAUAUGAACCGUUAUAACCGGCGAUUUCCGAAUGGGGAAACCCAGUGUGUUUCGACACACUAUCAUUAACUGAAUCCAUAGGUUAAUGAGGCGAACCGGGGGAACUGAAACAUCUAAGUACCCCGAGGAAAAGAAAUCAACCGAGAUUCCCCCAGUAGCGGCGAGCGAACGGGGAGCAGCCCAGAGCCUGAAUCAGUAUGUGUGUUAGUGGAAGCGUCUGGAAAGGCGCGCGAUACAGGGUGACAGCCCCGUACACAAAAAUGCACAUAUUGUGAGCUCGAUGAGUAGGGCGGGACACGUGGUAUCCUGUCUGAAUAUGGGGGGACCAUCCUCCAAGGCUAAAUACUCCUGACUGACCGAUAGUGAACCAGUACCGUGAGGGAAAGGCGAAAAGAACCCCGGCGAGGGGAGUGAAAAAGAACCUGAAACCGUGUACGUACAAGCAGUGGGAGCACGCUUAGGCGUGUGACUGCGUACCUUUUGUAUAAUGGGUCAGCGACUUAUAUUCUGUAGCAAGGUUAACCGAAUAGGGGAGCCGAAGGGAAACCGAGUCUUAACUGGGCGUUAAGUUGCAGGGUAUAGACCCGAAACCCGGUGAUCUAGCCAUGGGCAGGUUGAAGGUUGGGUAACACUAACUGGAGGACCGAACCGACUAAUGUUGAAAAAUUAGCGGAUGACUUGUGGCUGGGGGUGAAAGGCCAAUCAAACCGGGAGAUAGCUGGUUCUCCCCGAAAGCUAUUUAGGUAGCGCCUCGUGAAUUCAUCUCCGGGGGUAGAGCACUGUUUCGGCAAGGGGGUCAUCCCGACUUACCAACCCGAUGCAAACUGCGAAUACCGGAGAAUGUUAUCACGGGAGACACACGGCGGGUGCUAACGUCCGUCGUGAAGAGGGAAACAACCCAGACCGCCAGCUAAGGUCCCAAAGUCAUGGUUAAGUGGGAAACGAUGUGGGAAGGCCCAGACAGCCAGGAUGUUGGCUUAGAAGCAGCCAUCAUUUAAAGAAAGCGUAAUAGCUCACUGGUCGAGUCGGCCUGCGCGGAAGAUGUAACGGGGCUAAACCAUGCACCGAAGCUGCGGCAGCGACGCUUAUGCGUUGUUGGGUAGGGGAGCGUUCUGUAAGCCUGUGAAGGUGUGCUGUGAGGCAUGCUGGAGGUAUCAGAAGUGCGAAUGCUGACAUAAGUAACGAUAAAGCGGGUGAAAAGCCCGCUCGCCGGAAGACCAAGGGUUCCUGUCCAACGUUAAUCGGGGCAGGGUGAGUCGACCCCUAAGGCGAGGCCGAAAGGCGUAGUCGAUGGGAAACAGGUUAAUAUUCCUGUACUUGGUGUUACUGCGAAGGGGGGACGGAGAAGGCUAUGUUGGCCGGGCGACGGUUGUCCCGGUUUAAGCGUGUAGGCUGGUUUUCCAGGCAAAUCCGGAAAAUCAAGGCUGAGGCGUGAUGACGAGGCACUACGGUGCUGAAGCAACAAAUGCCCUGCUUCCAGGAAAAGCCUCUAAGCAUCAGGUAACAUCAAAUCGUACCCCAAACCGACACAGGUGGUCAGGUAGAGAAUACCAAGGCGCUUGAGAGAACUCGGGUGAAGGAACUAGGCAAAAUGGUGCCGUAACUUCGGGAGAAGGCACGCUGAUAUGUAGGUGAAGUCCCUCGCGGAUGGAGCUGAAAUCAGUCGAAGAUACCAGCUGGCUGCAACUGUUUAUUAAAAACACAGCACUGUGCAAACACGAAAGUGGACGUAUACGGUGUGACGCCUGCCCGGUGCCGGAAGGUUAAUUGAUGGGGUUAGCCGCAAGGCGAAGCUCUUGAUCGAAGCCCCGGUAAACGGCGGCCGUAACUAUAACGGUCCUAAGGUAGCGAAAUUCCUUGUCGGGUAAGUUCCGACCUGCACGAAUGGCGUAAUGAUGGCCAGGCUGUCUCCACCCGAGACUCAGUGAAAUUGAACUCGCUGUGAAGAUGCAGUGUACCCGCGGCAAGACGGAAAGACCCCGUGAACCUUUACUAUAGCUUGACACUGAACAUUGAGCCUUGAUGUGUAGGAUAGGUGGGAGGCUUUGAAGUGUGGACGCCAGUCUGCAUGGAGCCGACCUUGAAAUACCACCCUUUAAUGUUUGAUGUUCUAACGUUGACCCGUAAUCCGGGUUGCGGACAGUGUCUGGUGGGUAGUUUGACUGGGGCGGUCUCCUCCUAAAGAGUAACGGAGGAGCACGAAGGUUGGCUAAUCCUGGUCGGACAUCAGGAGGUUAGUGCAAUGGCAUAAGCCAGCUUGACUGCGAGCGUGACGGCGCGAGCAGGUGCGAAAGCAGGUCAUAGUGAUCCGGUGGUUCUGAAUGGAAGGGCCAUCGCUCAACGGAUAAAAGGUACUCCGGGGAUAACAGGCUGAUACCGCCCAAGAGUUCAUAUCGACGGCGGUGUUUGGCACCUCGAUGUCGGCUCAUCACAUCCUGGGGCUGAAGUAGGUCCCAAGGGUAUGGCUGUUCGCCAUUUAAAGUGGUACGCGAGCUGGGUUUAGAACGUCGUGAGACAGUUCGGUCCCUAUCUGCCGUGGGCGCUGGAGAACUGAGGGGGGCUGCUCCUAGUACGAGAGGACCGGAGUGGACGCAUCACUGGUGUUCGGGUUGUCAUGCCAAUGGCACUGCCCGGUAGCUAAAUGCGGAAGAGAUAAGUGCUGAAAGCAUCUAAGCACGAAACUUGCCCCGAGAUGAGUUCUCCCUGACUCCUUGAGAGUCCUGAAGGAACGUUGAAGACGACGACGUUGAUAGGCCGGGUGUGUAAGCGCAGCGAUGCGUUGAGCUAACCGGUACUAAUGAACCGUGAGGCUUAACCUU